ensembl:lncRNA
GUACACACACACACGUGAUGGCUUGUUGUAGCCCGUCAGGACGCUAGGUGUUAUUGUCCUGCCAGGAGCAGAAUUCUCAGUAGCUCUUAACAUGGCUUUCGGAGCUGGAAAGUGAAAGUAUGUCUUCACUGCUGUGGCUUUGUCAGGAGGAACCAAUGAAGCCAGUCUGUGGUUAAUUUGGCUUCGUACGGCCCCUGCUGAUGACUUCCCUCGAAAAUGCACUGCAUUCUUUAUGGAUGAAUACCAGGAUCUGCGGCUGUAAUUACACCAGCCAAUUAAGGCAUGGGGACGAGUGGAGGAGCACAACAGAGGAGAUUUAUCCACCACCCGCCCCGUCUGCCCCCUCUCUGUCAGCACGGGGCUACUGGGUUGCCAGGUUCCACCAUGCUUUAGGCAUGUUCUUUACUGUACUCGGCUGAAUUGAGAAGGCAUGAUAUUUUGGUUGAUAAAGCCCAAAAUCAUGCACUUCCUCUCUCAAGCUGUAAUUCUAUAUGAAUAGGGGCUUUCAGAGGGGUAUAACACUAAAUGAUUGAGCUAUGGGAUAUAAAUAACAUCAUGCCGACGGCACAUUGAUUAUUUGUUCCUGCUGUGUCCACAGUGUGAUAAGAUACGACAGUAACACUGGUGAUGACAGUAUAAGUUCAUGUUAUGAUAUCAUUGGUUAAUGAUCACUAUCUGCUUUGUCAUUUGGUCAACUGGAAGUGAACCUAAAGCAAUCAAAUAGCAUAACCUAGAUGGUACUGUAGUUGACAGUUUCCCAACUUAAUUCCAUGUAGAAAUAAGAUAUUGCCUGGUCUGAUAGUCCUGAUUUACAGACCAAUCAAAGAGUGCAUAGUGAAGCAAUCUACUCAAUGAAAUCAGAUUUUAAUGACCAGUGGUUAGAAAUGCCAGUGUUAAAUAGAUUAAAACAAAAUGCAACUGGUGAAUUAAUGAACAUCACAGAAUACUCACUGUUUGUAAGACUACAUUAAUAAAGGUAUUUUGAGAAUGUGAUUAUACUUGAAGUGACUUCCUCCAAAUUGGACAUGUCUUCUAAAUGUUAAUUUUGCUAACACCAAAGAAGCAUUGUUUUGGUUGCAUCGUUUCAUUAGUACAAUGUUCAACUUUGAAAUAUAUUUUCUUGGACAAGGAAGCUAAAUGUGUUGCAAUGAGAGGUGACAAAAAAUGGACAGAUUUUCUUCAGAGAGGGGGGGGGGGACUUAGUGGUUCUCAGUCCCACCCCCACACACAACCUGGGAACUGAGUGACUUCUUCC